ACGCUCGACACCUACGGGAGCAGCAGUGGGGAAUAUUGCNCAAUGGGGGGAACCCUGAUGCAGCGACGCCGCGUGAGGGAAGAAGGUUUUCGGAUUGUAAACCUCUGUCCUUGGUGACGAUAAUGACGGUAGCCAAGGAGGAGGCCACGGCUAACUACGUGCAGCAGCCGCGGUAAUCUGAGGCGGGCUGGCAAGGC
rnacentral:rRNA from 1 species